GGCUGAGUAGUGUUAGGUGGUCAGCACGCAAGAUUUUGACUGAUUCAUCAGAAUUUCCUUGAAACCUGAGCUCGAAUCUCGGCUUGGCCU